rnacentral:rRNA from 1 species
UACGGGAGGCAGCAGUGGGGAAUAUUGCACAAUGGGCGAAAGCCUGAUGCAGCUAUGCCGCGUGUAUGAAGAAGGCCUUAGGGUUGUAAAGUACUUUCAUCGGGGAGGAAAAACAAAACUAAUAAUUUUAUUUCUUGACGUUACCCGAAAAAGAAGCACCGGCUAACUCCGUGCCAGCAGCCGCGGUAAUACGGAGGGUGCUAGCGUUAAUCAGAAUUACUGGGCGUAAAGAGCACGUAGGUGGUUUUUUUAAAGUCAGAUGUGAAAUCCCUGGGCUUAACCUAGGAACUGCAUUUUGAAACUGAAAUACUAGAGUAUCGUAGAGGGAGGUAGAAUUCUAGGUGUAGCGGUGAAAUGCGUAGAUAUCUGGAGGAAUACCUGUGGCGAAAGCGGCCUCCGUAAACGAAGUACUGACACUGAGGUGCGAAAGCGUGGGGAGCAAACAGGGAUUAGAUACCCGU